rnacentral:misc_RNA from 1 species
CAGAGUUGCAAAACUCCCACAAACCAUCGCGAAUCUUACCCGUACGGUUGCCUCGGCGCUGGCGGUCCGGAAGGCCCUCGGGCCCCCCGGAUCCUCGGGUCUCCCGCUCGCGGGAGGCUGCCCGCCGGAGUGCCGAAACCAAACUCUUGAUAUUUUAUGUCUCUCUGAAUAAACUUUUAAAUAAGUCA